rnacentral:lncRNA from 1 species
GAUUAACAUUAGUCGUCUCACGUCAUUCGCGGUGAGAGCGACUCGUCUCGACUCACACGCCGCGCAGAAUAAGUACAAAUGACGAUACAAGCCCGAUACGACUGAUGGGAUUCGAACCCUCCACCCUCUGCUGAAGUAAGGCGGCGUUCAAAAAGUACGUCACGCUCGAAGGGGGGGGGGAGGGUUGCUACUCACACAAAAAAAAAUUAAAUCUUGAAAAAUAUUCUUUAUAGGUGAGUAAAUAACCCUUACGAAGCAGAUUUGAGAAACGAAAUUACAGUCAACUCUCCCUAACUCAAUAUCGGAAGGACUAUCGAGUUAGGAAGGUAUAAAGGUAUAUUUUUUUUCAUUUCUCAUUAUUUUGACGAAAAUUAUUCGAAAUAGUUUAUAUGCUAUUUAUCAAUAAAAACUUAAAUUAAUAGUAUUCACUUUUUUUUUUAAUUUUACCCCCCUGAAAUGGUUUGUCAACCUUCAUUCUACUAUCAGCUAAAUAUCGAGUAGGAGAGCUAAACUUGCAUAAAAAACUGAAGCAGAUAGCAUCGAGUUUAGGGACAUCGAGUUAGAGAGGAAUUGACUUACAAACCUAAAGAACACACAUUCCAUCGAGUUACAGGAUAGUUGAUUGUAUAUUAUAUUCAUUUUUGAAACAUUGCACUUAAGGUACCACCCUAUCAAGCAUGCUGCUGCUCACACAACGCCAUCCAUCAGCCUACUAUGCCGAGACGCAACAACUAUCCCGACAGAGCUAACACUUAUAACUAACUAUAUGUGCACCAUGUUCAUAUCGCCGGGUUUUUGAAUGAGACGCACCACAGCUACACCCUCGUGUGGUAUGGUCCGAGUUUGUGCACCAUCACUAUCCCCCCUGACAGUGACAAGUAAGAAAAGAGUUGCAGUCGCGACGGCGAUCGAUACACCAUCAACAACGGCCACGGAAUAAGGAACUGUUUUUUAGUAUAGUCAAUAAUAGUCUGCGUUGUUUGCGAACCAUAAUACCGAUGCGUACAGACAGGUGUAGGGUAAUUUGCCCAUUAUUGCAGUAUAAGAAUUAAAUAGAAACCAGUAUUUUCUAUAUACAGAUUUUUUUUUAAUUGCUUUAUUAGUAACAUUUUAUACGUUACAUUUAUUUCUUUUAUCUAGGUGUCCAGUGUUAGACAACGCUAUCAUCCUAAUUU